ACACUCCUACGGGAGGCAGCAGUGGGGAAUAUUGGACAAUGGGCGCAAGCCUGAUCCAGCCAUGCCGCGUGAGUGAUGAAGGCCCUAGGGUUGUAAAGCUCUUUCACCGGUGAAGAUAAUGACGGUAACCGGAGAAGAAGCCCCGGCUAACUUCGUGCCAGCAGCCGCGGUAAUACGAAGGGGGCUAGCGUUGUUCGGAUUUACUGGGCGUAAAGCGCACGUAGGCGGACUAUUAAGUCAGGGGUGAAAUCCCGGGGCUCAACCCCGGAACUGCCUUUGAUACUGGUAGUCUUGAGUUCGAGAGAGGUGAGUGGAAUUCCGAGUGUAGAGGUGAAAUUCGUAGAUAUUCGGAGGAACACCAGUGGCGAAGGCGGCUCACUGGCUCGAUACUGACGCUGAGGUGCGAAAGCGUGGGGAGCAAACAGGAUUAAACCCUAGUAGUCCCAUGAU
rnacentral:rRNA from 1 species